rnacentral:rRNA from 1 species
UACGUAGGUGGCGAGCGUUGUCCGGAUUUAUUGGGUUUAAAGGGUGCGUAGGCGGUCUAUUAAGUCAGUGGUGAAAUAUGGCAGCUCAACUGUCAAGGUGCCAUUGAUACUGAUGGACUUGAGUGAAGUCGAAGUAGGCGGAAUUGACGGUGUAGCGGUGAAAUGCUUAGAUAUCGUCAAGAACACCGAUAGUGAAGACAGCUUACUAGGCUUAUACUGACGCUGAGGCACGAAAGUGUGGGGAUCAAACAGG